rnacentral:rRNA from 1 species
UACGAAGGGGGCUAGCGUUGUUCGGAAUCACUGGGCGUAAAGGGCGCGUAGGCGGCUUUGUAAGUCGGGGGUGAAAGCCUGUGGCUCAACCACAGAAUUGCCUUCGAUACUGCAUGGCUUGAGACCGGAAGAGGUAAGUGGAACUGCGAGUGUAGAGGUGAAAUUCGUAGAUAUUAGCAAGAACACCAGUGGCGAAGGCGGCUUACUGGUCCGGUUCUGACGCUGAGGCGCGAAAGCGUGGGGAGCAAACAGG